rnacentral:rRNA from 1 species
GAUGAACGCUGGCGGCGUGCCUAAUACAUGCAAGUCGAGCGAACAGACGAGGAGCUUGCUCCUCUGACGUUAGCGGCGGACGGGUGAGUAACACGUGGAUAACCUACCUAUAAGACUGGGAUAACUUCGGCAAACCGUGUCUAAUACCGGAUAAUAUAUUGACCCGCAUGGUUCAAUAGUUAAAUACGGUUUUUCUUUCGCUUAUAGAUUAAUCCGCACCGCAUUAGCUGGUUGGUAAGGUAACGGCUUACCAAGGCGACGAUGCGUAGCCGACCUGAGAGGGUGAUCGGCCACACGGGAACUGAGACACGGUCCAGACUCCUACGGGAGGCAGCAGUAGGGAAUCUUACGCAAUGGGCGAAAGCUUGACGGAGCAACGCCGCGUGAGUGAUGAAGGUCUUCGGAUCGUAAAACUCUGUUAUUAGGGAAGAACAAAUGUGUAAGUAACUAUGCACGUCUUGACGGUACCUAAUCAGAAAGCCACGGCUAACUACGUG